AGAACGAACGCUGGCGGCAGGCUUAACACAUGCAAGUCGAACGCUCGGGAGCAAUUCCGGGAGUGGCAGACGGGUGAGUAACACGUGGGAACAUACCCUUCGGUACGGAACAACUUGGGGAAACUCGAGCUAAUACCGUAUACGACCUUUUGGUGAAAGAUUGAUCGCCGGAGGAUUGGCCCGCGUCCGAUUAGCUAGUUGGUGAGGUAACGGCUCACCAAGGCGACGAUCGGUAGCUGGUCUGAGAGGAUGGCCAGCCACAUUGGGACUGAGACACGGCCCAAACUCCUACGGGAGGCAGCAGUGGGGAAUAUUGGACAAUGGGCGCAAGCCUGAUCCAGCCAUGCCGCGUGAGUGAUGACGGCCUUAGGGUUGUAAAGCUCUUUCGCACGCGACGAUAAUGACGGUAGCGUGAGAAGACGCCCGGCUAACUUCGCGCCAGCAGCCGC
rnacentral:rRNA from 1 species